GACAAACGCUGGUGGUGUGCCUAAUACAUGCAAGUCGAACGAGAAAGUCCCUUCGGGGGCGAGUAAGGUGGCGAACGGGUGAGUAACGCGUAGAUAACAUGCCUUUAGAUGGGGGAUAGCCAACCGAAAGGGUGGAUAAUACCGCAUAAGACCACAGUAUCUGUGGAUACAGGGGUCAAAGAUUUAUUGUCUAGAGAUUGGUCUGCGUCCGAUUAGCUUGUUGGUAGGGUAAAAGCCUACCAAGGCUAGGAUCGGUAGCUGGUCUGAGAGGAUGAUCAGCCACACUGGGACUGAGACACGGUCCAGACUCCUACGGGAGGCAGCGGUGGGGAAUAUUGGACAAUGGGCGCAAGCCUGAUCCAGCCAUACCGCGUGGGUGAAGAAGGCCUUCGGGUUGUAAAGCCCUUUUGUUGGGAAAGAAAUCCAGCCGGCUAAUACCUGGUUGGGAUGACGGUACCCAAAGAAUAAGCACCGGCUAACUUCGUGCCAGCAGCCGCGGUAAUACGAAGGGUGCAAGCGUUACUCGGAAUUACUGGGCGUAAAGCGUGCGUAGGUGGUCGUUUAAGUCCGUUGUGAAAGCCCUGGGCUCAACCUGGGAACUGCAGUGGAUACUGGGCGACUAGAGUGUGGUAGAGGUAGCGGAAUUCCUGGUGUAGCAGUGAAAUGCGUAGAGAGGCAGCUACCUGGACCAACACUGACACUGAGGCACGA
rnacentral:rRNA from 1 species